AGAGUUUGAUCCUGGCUCAGGAUGAACGCUGGCGGCGUGCCUAAUACAUGCAAGUCGAGCGAACGGACGAGAAGCUUGCUUCUCUGAUGUUAGCGGCGGACGGGUGAGUAACACGUGGAUAACCUACCUAUAAGACUGGGAUAACUUCGGGAAACCGGAGCUAAUACCGGAUAAUAUUUUGAACCGCAUGGUUCAAAAGUGAAAGACGGUCUUGCUGUCACUUAUAGAUGGAUCCGCGCUGCAUUAGCUAGUUGGUAAGGUAACGGCUUACCAAGGCAACGAUGCAUAGCCGACCUGAGAGGGUGAUCGGCCACACUGGAACUGAGACACGGUCCAGACUCCUACGGGAGGCAGCAGUAGGGAAUCUUCCGCAAUGGGCGAAAGCCUGACGGAGCAACGCCGCGUGAGUGAUGAAGGUCUUCGGAUCGUAAAACUCUGUUAUUAGGGAAGAACAUAUGUGUAAGUAACUGUGCACAUCUUGACGGUACCUAAUCAGAAAGCCACGGCUAACUACGUGCCAGCAGCCGCGGUAAUACGUAGGUGGCAAGCGUUAUCCGGAAUUAUUGGGCGUAAAGCGCGCGUAGGCGGUUUUUUAAGUCUGAUGUGAAAGCCCACGGCUCAACCGUGGAGGGUCAUUGGAAACUGGAAAACUUGAGUGCAGAAGAGGAAAGUGGAAUUCCAUGUGUAGCGGUGAAAUGCGCAGAGAUAUGGAGGAACACCAGUGGCGAAGGCGACUUUCUGGUCUGUAACUGACGCUGAUGUGCGAAAGCGUGGGGAUCAAACAGGAUUAGAUACCCUGGUAGUCCACGCCGUAAACGAUGAGUGCUAAGUGUUAGGGGGUUUCCGCCCCUUAGUGCUGCAGCUAAUGCAUUAAGCACUCCGCCUGGGGAGUACGACCGCAAGGUUGAAACUCAAAGGAAUUGACGGGGACCCGCACAAGCGGUGGAGCAUGUGGUUUAAUUCGAAGCAACGCGAAGAACCUUACCAAAUCUUGACAUCCUUUGACAACUCUAGAGAUAGAGCCUUCCCCUUCGGGGGACAAAGUGACAGGUGGUGCAUGGUUGUCGUCAGCUCGUGUCGUGAGAUGUUGGGUUAAGUCCCGCAACGAGCGCAACCCUUAAGCUUAGUUGCCAUCAUUAAGUUGGGCACUCUAAGUUGACUGCCGGUGACAAACCGGAGGAAGGUGGGGAUGACGUCAAAUCAUCAUGCCCCUUAUGAUUUGGGCUACACACGUGCUACAAUGGACAAUACAAAGGGCAGCGAAACCGCGAGGUCAAGCAAAUCCCAUAAAGUUGUUCUCAGUUCGGAUUGUAGUCUGCAACUCGACUACAUGAAGCUGGAAUCGCUAGUAAUCGUAGAUCAGCAUGCUACGGUGAAUACGUUCCCGGGUCUUGUACACACCGCCCGUCACACCACGAGAGUUUGUAACACCCGAAGCCGGUGGAGUAACCUUUUAGGAGCUAGCCGUCGAAGGUGGGACAAAUGAUUGGGGUGAAGUCGUAACAAGGUAGCCGUAUCGGAAGGUGCGGCUGGAUCACCU
rnacentral:rRNA from 1 species